UUGUUGUGGCACGACCGCCGCUUAAAGAUUUCCAAAGGCUAUUAGAAGUUUUAAGAGAAGACAAUGCGGGUACAGAGUAAAAUAGCGUACAGGGGAAGGAGUAUAAAUGAAAUAAAGCAAAGACGAAGAGGGAAAUCUGGUAACAGAAAUGCAGAGUACAUAUCAGAUACGAUGGCGCGAUUGAUGAAAACAAACUCACAAAAUAAUGCCGAUGUAUACAGACGGAGCUCACGUCCCACCACUUGACCAAGACCAGCUUACAUUCUUACAACAUAACAACUAAAAAAAACGAAUAACGAAAGGUACAUAAAUUCUUUAGUAUAAGUUUCAAAACAGAAG